rnacentral:rRNA from 1 species
UACGGAGGGUGCAAGCGUUAUCCGGAUUCACUGGGUUUAAAGGGUGCGUAGGCGGGUUUGUAAGUCAGUGGUGAAAUCUCCAAGCUUAACUUGGAAACUGCCGUUGAUACUAUAAAUCUUGAAUGUUGUGGAGGUGAGCGGAAUAUGUCAUGUAGCGGUGAAAUGCUUAGAUAUGACAUAGAACACCAAUUGCGAAGGCAGCUCACUACACAAAGAUUGACACUGAGGCACGAAAGCGUGGGGAUCAAACAGG